GUACUAGCUGUCAGCUGCUGGAGACCUUGCUUUCUGUUUCACUGGGAAACAGAAGCAAUCAGAAGGAAACUUCCUCAGACUCCACCUCUCCCUUCACUCCCGCCUGUAUCCGUGCCUGUUACCUGGACGCCUUGUGGAACUUGAAUUCUACGCCCUCCACUGGGACACUGCCCUUCAUCCUCUCUCACCUCCUCCAGGACAACAAGACGGGAUUUCACCGUGUUAGCCAGGAUGGUCUCGAUCUCCUGACCUCGUGAUCCGCCUGUCUCGACCUCCCAAAGUGCUGGGAUUACAGAAUGUUGUAGUCCUCAUCAUCAGCAGAGACUUUGUGCCAUCCUCUGCUAUAUUAUCCUGAAGAGUGCCUGGCUCAUGCUGCAGUGUUCUGAAUAGCAGUCCAGCUAUGAGGGGAGGUGCCCGUGGCAGGCCUCAGCUGACCCUGGAGAGGCCAUUAAGACCUGGCUGUCGCCUCCACAGCUGCUCGGAGGCAGAGAAAGGUGGCUUUGUAAGAAGAAAAGAGAUCAUUCUUUUUCCACCAUGUGAGGACCCAGCAAGAGGGUGGCUGUCUGCAAACCCAGGGAGAGAGCCCUCACCAGGAAUCUGCUGGCACCUUAAUCUUGGACUUCCCAGCCUCCACAACUGUGAGGAAUAAAUGUAUGUUGUUUAAGCCA
rnacentral:lncRNA from 1 species